rnacentral:rRNA from 1 species
AGGGGAAGAGAAAGAUGAAAAGGAAAAGGGAAAGGGAAAGGAAAAGGAAAAUAAAAAUGGAAAUGGAAAAGGGAAUACGGACCAAAACAAUAUUGAGGCAAUCCUUCUUUCAUUGAAGAAUGACUUUAUGAAACCUCCUUUGUUCACCUCGCCUCCU